rnacentral:rRNA from 1 species
UACAUGGGGUGCAAACGUUGCUCGGAAUUAUUGGGCGUAAAGCGCGCGUAGGCGGUUACUCAAGUCGGAUGUGAAAACCCGGGGCUCAACCCCGGGCCUGCAUUCGAUACGGGCAGACUAGAGUUCGGUAGGGGAGUCUGGAAUUCCUGGUGUAGCGGUGAAAUGCGCAGAUAUCAGGAGGAACACCGGUGGCGAAGGCGGGACUCUGGGCCGAUACUGACGCUGAGGAGCGAAAGCGUGGGGAGCAAACAGG